rnacentral:lncRNA from 1 species
AGCCCUGCUCAACACUAUCCAGCACCUUCAAAGGGAAAAAAAUGUCUCUGGAGCUGAUGGCAAAGCAACAGACAACGCACCUAUGCCAACUACGAGCACAGCAGCUACUCAAACUCUGACCACAACAGACAAUGCAACUACUCCAACUUCAAAUACAGCAGCUACACCAAGCCCAGUGACAAGCACAGCAGCUACUCAAACCCCGACAGCAACAGACAAUGUGGCUACCCCAAGCACCGCAGCUACACCAACCCCAGUGACAAGCACAGUAGCUACUCAAACCCUGACAGCAACAGACAAUGCAGCUGUUGGUGUUACUCAGCUCCCAAGCACAACAGCUGCACCAACCCCAGCAACAGACACUGCAGCCACUCCAACCCUAGUGGCAGACACUGCAGUCACUCCAACCACAGUUACAAACACUGCACUUAAACCAAAUGGCCAGUUUGUGACAAUGUCUGUUGCCCCUAUAAGCAAAAGCAAACGAGAGGCACAAAGAGUAACCCGUGAAACGAAGAAAGAUGAAGACCCAAUGCCAUUACUACACGGAACAGCAUCUGAACAAGAGUUACUACUACGUGGAUCAGAGGAAGAGGAAGAAGAAGAAGAGGUGACUUCUCGACCUCAACCAAGCUGCGGAAUAUGCAAAAAGAUUUCACCCGUCUUACAGGGGAGCACAUUGUCACCUGGUUGCUCCGAUGCUCGGACAAUGGGGCCGACGGUCACGAACUAGAAGGUAAGGAAGCCAAGCAGCUGGGAUCACUUGCUAGGGAAGGAGGAAUUGACAAAGCGAUUGCAAGAGAGAAGUGAGCCCUCAGCCUUUGGAGGCGGCUCCUGGCAGCUGUGAAGGAAAGGUUUCCCUACAGGGACGAUAUUACUUGUUGCUCAGCCAACUGGACCACGAUAGAGAAAGGCACCCGGUCCCUGAGGGAAUCAGCCAUUAUAGAGAUGAUCUAUCAUAGGCCAGAUGCCUGGAACACAUCCGUAGAUCCAGAUGAAGUCGAAUGUACACGACCCAUGUGGCGGAAACUUACACAGAGUGCACCAUCAUCAUAUGCCCACACAUUGGCAUCAAUGACCUGGAAUGACAGAGUAUCACCAACAGUGGAUUACCUGAUUCGUCAGCUCUGAGAAUUCGAAGACAAUCUCACCCCUUCCAUCAUUUCAGCUGUGGAAAAACUGUCCUAGGAGUUCAAACAAUUGAGAGACGAUUUAUCCAAUCUAUCCAGCUCCCCACGUGUACCAACCCAUGUCUCAGCUAUUAACAGAAGGCGCCCUACUGCUCAAGAAAGAAAA